GAUGAACGCUGGCGGCGUGCCUAAUACGUGCAAGUCGAGCGAACAGACGAGGAGCUUGCUCCUCUGACGUUAGCGGCGGACGGGUGAGUAACACGUGGAUAACCUACCUAUAAGACUGGGAUAACUUCGGGAAACCGGAGCUAAUACCGGAUAAUAUAUUGAACCGCAUGGUUCAAUAGUGAAAGACGGUUUUGCUGUCACUUAUAGAUGGAUCCGCGCCGCAUUAGCUAGUUGGUAAGGUAACGGCUUACCAAGGCAACGAUGCGUAGCCGACCUGAGAGGGUGAUCGGCCACACUGGAACUGAGACACGGUCCAGACUCCUACGGGAAGCAGCAGUAGGGAAUCUUCCGCAAUGGGCGAAAGCCUGACGGAGCAACGCCGCGUGAGUGAUGAAGGUCUUCGGAUCGUAAAACUCUGUUAUUAGGGAAGAACAAAUGUGUAUGUAACUAUGCACGUCUUGACGGUACCUAAUCAGAAAGCCACGGCUAACUACGUG
rnacentral:rRNA from 1 species